rnacentral:rRNA from 1 species
UGGGGAAUAUUGCGCAAUGGGGGAAACCCUGACGCAGCCAUGCCGCGUGAGUGAAGACGGCCUUCGGGUUGUAAAGCUCUUUCAGAUGUGACGAUGAUGACGGUAACAUCAGAAGAAGCCCCGGCUAACUUCGUGCCAGCAGCCGCGGUAAUACGAAGGGGGCUAGCGUUGUUCGGAUUUACUGGGCGUAAAGCGUGCGUAGGCGGUAUAUCAAGUCAAUAGGUGAAAUCCCAGGGCUCAACCCUGGAACUGCCUUUGAUACUGAUAAACUAGAGUACGAUAGAGGAUAGUGGAAUUUCCAGUGUAGGGGUAGAAUCCGUAGAUAUUGGAAGGAACACCAGUGGCGAAAGCGGCUAUCUGGAUCGUAACUGACGCUGAGGUACGAAAGCGUGGGGAGCAAACA